rnacentral:rRNA from 1 species
GAUUCUGGCUCAGGAUGAACGCUAGCGGCAGGCUUAACACAUGCAAGUCGAGGGGCAUCGGGAGUAGCAAUACUGCCGGCGACCGGCGCAAGGGUGCGUAACGCGUGAGCAACAUGCCCGUAUCAGGGGGAUAAUCCAUGGAAACGUGGUCUAAUACCCCAUAGUAAUUAUGUAAGGCAUCUUAUAUAAUUUAAAGCUUUGGUGGAUACGGAUUGGCUCGCGUGACAUUAGCUGGAUGGUAAGGUAACGGCUUACCAUGGCUACGAUGUCUAGGGGUUCUGAGAGGAAGGUCCCCCACACUGGAACUGAGACACGGUCCAGACUCCUACGGGAGGCAGCAGUGAGGAAUAUUGGACAAUGGAUGGAAAUCUGAUCCAGCCAUGCCGCGUGCCAGGAAGACGGCCCUAUGGGUUGUAAACUGCUUUUGUAUGGGAGCAAUAAGGGCUACGUGUAGUCCGAUGAGAGUACCAUACGAAUAAGCACCGGCUAACUCCGUGCCAGCCGCGGC